rnacentral:misc_RNA from 1 species
GAUGAAGAACGUAGCGAAAUGCGAUACUUGGUGUGAAUUGCAGAAUCCCGUGAACCAUCGAGUCUUUGAACGCAAGUUGCGCCUCAAGCCAUUAGGUUGAGGGCACGUCUGCCUGGGCGUCACAUAUCGUUGCCUGAUGCCGGUUUCCUCGUGAUGGGUGACUGUGCAGGGCGAAUGAUGGCUUCCCGUGAGCAUUGUUGCCUCAUGGUUGGUUGAAAAUUGAGUCCUUGGUAGGGAGCGCCGUGAUAGAUGGUGGUUGAGUGACGAACGAGACCCAAUCAUGUGAGACCCCUACCGAAUUUGGCCUUCAUAACCCACAUGCGUCUUUGGAACGCUCAUGACGAGACCUCAGGUCAGGCGGGGCUACCCGCUGAGUUUAAGCAUAUCAAUAAGCGGAGGA